rnacentral:rRNA from 1 species
UACGUAGGGGCCGAGCGUUGUCCGGAGUUAUUGGGCGUAAAGCGCGCGCAGGCGGCUUCGCGCGCCCGACGUGAAAGCCCCCGGCUUAACCGGGGAGAGUCGUUGGGGACGGCGGAGCUUGAGGGCGGGAGAGGUCGGUGGAAUUCCCGGUGUAGUGGUGAAAUGCGUAGAGAUCGGGAGGAACAUCAGUGGCGAAGGCGGCCAUCUGGGACAACACUGACGCUGAAGCACGAAAGCGUGGGGAGCAAACAGG